rnacentral:rRNA from 1 species
UACGUAGGGGGCUAGCGUUGUCCGGAAUCAUUGGGCGUAAAGAGCGCGUAGGCGGCCAGAUAAGUCCGGUGUGAAAGUCAAAGGCUCAACCUUUGAAUGCCGCUGGAAACUGUCUGGCUAGAGUCCGGGAGGGGCGAGUGGAAUUCCUGGUGUAGCGGUGAAAUGCGCAGAUAUCGGGAGGAACACCAGUGGCGAAGGCGGCGCUCUGGGCCGGAACUGACGCUGAGGAGCGAAAGCGUGGGUAGCAAACAGG